GAGUAUAGUUGCCUUAAAACACAACCACUUCUUAUUCCUCCUGAAUCUAUAGGCCGGCUGGCCGGUUCCGCUGGUUGGAGUUGGCAUGUCCACAGGGUAGGCUGUGUGACCUUCCCCUUGGGCUGGGCGCUGAGGCUUCGGCAGAGGGCUCCUCUCUGGCCUUCUGCUCUCUCCCCACCUCGGAGGCCCAUUCCCAGGGUUGCAGAGCUUUGCGUGCUAAGUUGCUUCAGUAGCGUCCAACUCUUUGCAGCCCUAUGGACUAUGGCCCGCCAGGCUCCUUUGUCCAAGGGAUUCUCCAGGCAAGAGUACUGGAGUGGGUGGCUGUGCCCUCCUCCAGGGCAUCUUCCCGACCCAGUGGUUGAUCCUGCAUCUCUUAUGUCUCCUGCAUUGGCAGGCAGGAUCUUUACCACUAGCACCAGCUGGGAAGCCCCAGCACCUUGAGAGGGAGCAGACAUGCACGGGACCCUUAAGGCCCAGGCUCAGACGAGCAUGGAGUGGUUUAUGCCAUAUUCUACUGGCCAAAACCAGUCAUAGGCCACUGCUGAUUCGUGGUGGAAAGUCACAUUGCGGAUACACGGACACAGGGAGGGUGAAGAAGGCUGGCCAGGUGUCACUGGUCUGCCGCUGCGCCCCGGGGAGACGGAGGGGCCCAGUCCCCGGGUCAGGACGCCCAGCUUGGCGGUGUCGGGCACUGCUUACCACUCAUCGCUUGGCCGGACACCUCUGGGGACCCCUGUGACCCUGCCUGAUGCUAAUGCCUCCCUCAGGCUGGAGGCGUCAUCUGAACCAGGCCAGCUCAGGAGCUGGAUUAGAAAUGUGAGUCUUGGCGUCAGCAUCAGCUGCCGAGUUCACCUGAGAUGCGCUGAGUGCAGGAGCUGCGGCUGGUUGCCGGGUGCACGGAGGAGUGGAGAAGACGGGCUGAGAAGGGAGUGAAGGCCGCGGGGGCACGCCGAGCGGGAGGACGGCGAGGCAGGGAGGGCCGUCCGGCUGCGGAGGGCCCGCGCCUCCAGCCUGUCCUUCCAGCGCCGUUUCUUCCGGGCCAGGGUGCGCUCCACUCCCCACCCGGCCACCGUACCUCCCGCACCCUCUAUGCUCAGGGAGCCGCAAAGCUCCUUCAGAUCCAGAUCGGAAUCCACGGCGGUGUCAGCCUGUGCGUGGUUAUGAUCCAGACGGACCCGGAGAGAAGGGCCGCCCUGGCCUGGAUCACACUGUGCCGAGCCUGGCAUCCCCGGGCACCCAGAGCUCACCCCUAGACGCAGGACGGAAGGGAGCGCCGUGCCCCCACAGCAAGGGGCAGGGGGAGGCCCAGGAGAGACCCCGUCCCGAGCCGGGGAGAGGGAGGCAGCCUGAGGGCCUGGGCGCAUCCUGGCUCCUCCAAUUCCUGCCGCCGGUCCUCAGACGGGACACCCAGCUCGCCGUCUCCCGAAGGACACGCUCGUCUUCCUCUCGGGCGGUGGGGGCUUCAGGCUGCGGCUGGUUCCCCAGAUGGCAGCUCGCCCACCUUCCUGUGGGAAACCUGACUGGAGACACAGGCGCCUGGCUCACGCGGAGCCCGCAGAGGGCGGUGUGAGCGGAGGCUUCCCCGCAGGAGCCCCAGCGCCAGCCCUGCGUGGCAGGCAGGACAGCCCCCCGCUGGACGCCCACCUCCUACUCUCCCAAACCUGAGACUCGGGUCACGCUGCAACAGGAGCUACGGCGGAAGGUGGACCCAGUGGCUGAGAUGGGAAACGACCCUGGAUUAUCCCGGCGGCUCCAGUGUGAUUGGAAGGAAACCUCACGGUGGAGGGGGGACGGGAGAGCCAGUGUCUGUGACUCAGCGUGAGAGAGGCCAUCGCUGGCUGUGGACGGACGGAGGGGCCGUGAGCCAAGGAAUGCGGGUGGUCUCCAGAAGGUGGGAAAGGCAGGAAGCGGGUUCUCCCCCCCUGGAGCCUCUGGAAGGACGCAGCGCUGCUGACAUGUCAACCACAGCCUCGGGAGACCCCUGUGGACCCCUGACCCCCAGACUGUAGGGUAAUAAAUGUGUGUUGUUUUAAGCCA
rnacentral:lncRNA from 1 species